rnacentral:rRNA from 1 species
UACAGAGACUGCAAGCGUUAUUCGGAUUCACUGGGCGUAAAGGGCGCGCAGGCGGCCAAGUGUGUUAGGCGUGAAAGCCUGAGGCUUAACCUCAGAAUUGCACCUAAAACUACAUGGCUAGAGCAUUGGAGAGGGUAGCGGAAUUCACGGUGUAGCAGUGAAAUGCGUAGAUAUCGUGAGGAACACCAGAGGCGAAGGCGGCUACCUGGACAAUUGCUGACGCUCAGGCACGAAAGCGUGGGGAGCAAAAGGG